ACCACAGGACACAGGCAGCCACAAGCUGUGACAUGGAGUUCUCGGCAGAGGAUCUGGUCGCGGCCACCGAAAUUACAGGAGCCUUCAGAAACAGACAAUGCAGGAAAAUCCCCAAGGUCCCCACCAUCGGAUCGAUGGCGGAGUCUCCCCGAAGGCAGUCUCCAAUUUAAACCUUUCGGAUAAGAGGGCAUCUCUGGCUCCUGUCUCCUAAGAUCACCAACUGUCACUGAGCCUCUUUUCUGUGCCGGACCUAAGCCAGUGGUGGAAUACUCCAACAGCUCCCCCCACACAAACCUGGAUUGUGCCCAUACUCAGCGGGUGGUAGGCACUGAGUGAAAACUGGCACCAAGAAGGACACCUGCCAGACACCAAGAAAAGCCGGAACAGCGCAAUCUCUCUCGGGUUAGCCUCCCUGGCGUUAGCUAUAACAGCCGCAAAGGCUCCAGUGGCAGAGGACCAGAGUAGCUGUGGUGAGCUGGGCUGGUCUCAAGGUCACUGCCAAAAAACUGUGCAGGGGCGGACACCAUCUCAUCACAGCCACCUUGACAGCUGCACAGAUCUUGGGAAGCCAGCCCAUGCUCCAGCCUCCUGGGGCCGAAGUUUCAGCAGUGCGUUGGGAGGAUUGGCAGGACUGCCUGCCUGGCCGCACAGCCAAAAAGGUUUUCUACUUGCAGUUGGAUUGAGAACAGAUUCCCACAACCAGAAACUGGGAACAGAGUGAGGUCCGGAAGGCCUGCGUUUCAUCACCCUCACUCGGUUCCUCAUCUUUCAGGAUGCCACGGAAACGCUCUUUCCUUGUUGGAUCCUGAAGUCUAACAUGACUUGUUUUUGCAUUUAUUUAUUUACCCAAAUAUUUAUUGGUACUGGAGAUGCAACCCAGGGCCUCAUGCAUGCUAAACAAGUGCCCUACCAAUUGAACUCAUACACCUUGGGUCCCAGCUUUCAAUCUAUCUUGCACAACACCCCAAAUCAUUUUCCACACAAAUUUUGUUGUUUUAUUUAUUUUUUGAAACAAGGUUUUACUGUGUAGCCCUGACUUUCCCAACCCUAACUUUCAACUAGAGUCAAAUAUGGCAGAACACAUAGAACUCUAGCUGAAAGCUGCUAACUUUGGUUAGAGCAAGACAUAAAACUACAGCUGGGGUGGCUUUAAUCCCAGCACUCAGGAGGCAUGCGGAUCUGUGAGUUCAAGGCCAGCCUGGCCUAUAUAGCAAUCAGUGUAGAAAAUGUUACUUUCUAAAAGUUACAUUCACUAAUGCUGGAAUUGAUAACCCACUACCAUCAGGCAAGCUGGGCAAGAUGGCACAUGCCUUUAGUCCCAGCACUUGGGAGGCAGAGGCAGGUGGAUCUCUGUAAAAUGUAAAAUAGCCAGUUCCAGGACAUCUGGGGUACCAGG